UGAAAUCAACUGAGACC
rnacentral:rRNA from 2 species